GUCGACACGGUGAUCUUCUUCAGGUAGCGGCCCUUCGACGAGGACGGCUUGAGCCGCAGCACCUCGUCGAUCGCCGCGCCGUAGUUCUCCGCCAACAACUUCUCGUCGAACGACGCUUUCCCGAUGACGAAGUGCAGGUUGGCCUGCUUGUCAACCCGGAAGUUGAUCUUGCCGCCCUUGAUG
rnacentral:sRNA from 1 species